rnacentral:rRNA from 1 species
AAGCGGUGGAGCACGUGGUUUAAUUCGAUGCAAACCGAAGAACCUUACCUGGGUUUGACAUGUGCGUGUUACUGAGGUGAAAGGCCGAGGGACCAUAUCUUCGGAUGUGGAGCGUACACAGGUGCUGCAUGGCUGUCGUCAGCUCGUGUCGUGAGGUGUUGGGUUAAGUCCCCGCAACGAGCGCAACCCCGCCGUUAGUUGCCAGCGGUUCGGCCGGGCAACUCUAACGGGACUGCCCGCGAAAGCGGGGAGGAAGGAGGGGACGACGUCUGGUCAGCAUGGCUCUUACGGGCCUGGGCGACACACGUGCUACAAUGCCCACUACAAAGCGAUGCCACCCGGCAACGGGGAGCUAAUCGCAAAAAGGUGGGCCCAGUUCGGAUUGGGGUCUGCAACCCGACCCCAUGAAGCCGGAAUCGCUAGUAAUCGCGGAUCAGCCAUGCCGCGGUGAAUACGUUCCCGGGCCUU